GUGCUCACUUUGGUAGCACAUAUACUGGAACAAUACAGAGAAGAUAAGCAUGGGCCCUGCAUAAAGGUGACACACAAAUUCAUGAAACAUUCCAUAUGUUA
ensembl:snRNA U6 U6 spliceosomal RNA